rnacentral:rRNA from 1 species
UGGUAAUGCCGGAUGUUCCACAUGAUCGCAUGUGAUUGUGGGAAAGAUUCUAUCGGCGUGGGAUGGGGUCGCGUCCUAUCAGCUUGUUGGUGAGGUAACGGCUCACCAAGGCUUCGACGGGUAGCCGGCCUGAGAGGGCGACCGGCCACAUUGGGACUGAGAUACGGCCCAGACUCCUACGGGAGGCAGCAGUGGGGAAUAUUGCACAAUGGGCGCAAGCCUGAUGCAGCGACGCCGCGUGAGGGAUGGAGGCCUUCGGGUUGUAAACCUCUUUUGUUUGGGAGCAAGCCUUCGGGUGAGUGUACCUUUCGAAUAAGCGCCGGCUAACUACGUGCCAGCAGCCGCGGUAAUACGUAGGGCGCAAGCGUUAUCCGGAUUUAUUGGGCGUAAAGGGCUCGUAGGCGGCUCGUCGCGUCCGGUGUGAAAGUCCAUCGCUUAACGGUGGAUCUGCGCCGGGUACGGGCGGGCUGGAGUGCGGUAGGGGAGACUGGAAUUCCCGGUGUAACGGUGGAAUGUGUAGAUAUCGGAAAAGAAAC